AGAGUUUGAUCCUGGCUCAGGACGAACGCUGGCGGCGUGCCUAAUACAUGCAAGUCGAGCGAGUCUGCCUUGAAGAUCGGAGUGCUUGCACUCUGUGAAACAAGAUACAGGCUAGCGGCGGACGGGUGAGUAACACGUGGGUAACCUGCCCAAGAGAUCGGGAUAACACCUGGAAACAGAUGCUAAUACCGGAUAACAACAGAUGAUGCCUAUCAACUGUUUAAAAGAUGGUUCUGCUAUCACUCUUGGAUGGACCUGCGGUGCAUUAGCUAGUUGGUAGGGUAACGGCCUACCAAGGCGAUGAUGCAUAGCCGAGUUGAGAGACUGAUCGGCCACAUUGGGACUGAGACACGGCCCAAACUCCUACGGGAGGCAGCAGUAGGGAAUCUUCCACAAUGGACGCAAGUCUGAUGGAGCAACGCCGCGUGAGUGAAGAAGGGUUUCGGCUCGUAAAGCUCUGUUGUUGGUGAAGAAGGACAGGGGUAGUAACUGACCUUUGUUUGACGGUAAUCAAUUAGAAAGUCGCGGCUAACUACGUGCCAGCCGCCGCGGUAA
rnacentral:rRNA from 1 species